rnacentral:rRNA from 1 species
ACAGAAGAGCUUGCUCUUUGGGUGGCGAGUGGCGGACGGGUGAGUAAUGUCUGGGAAACUGCCCGAUGGAGGGGGAUAACUACUGGAAACGGUAGCUAAUACCGCAUAACGUCGCGAGACCAAAGUGGGGGACCUUCGGGCCUCACACCAUCGGAUGUGCCCAGAUGGGAUUAGCUAGUAGGUGGGGUAAUGGCUCACCUAGGCGACGAUCCCUAGCUGGUCUGAGAGGAUGACCAGCCACACUGGAACUGAGACACGGUCCAGACUCCUACGGGAGGCAGCAGUGGGGAAUAUUGCACAAUGGGCGCAAGCCUGAUGCAGCCAUGCCGCGUGUAUGAAGAAGGCCUUCGGGUUGUAAAGUACUUUCAGCGGGGAGGAAGGCGGUGAGGUUAAUAACCUUGCCGAUUGACGUUACCCGCAGAAGAAGCACCGGCUAACUCCGUGCCAGCAGCCGCGGUAAUACGGAGGGUGCAAGCGUUAAUCGGAAUUACUGGGCGUAAAGCGCACGCAGGCGGUCUGUUAAGUCAGAUGUGAAAUCCCCGGGCUUAACCUGGGAACUGCAUUUGAAACUGGCAGGCUUGAGUCUCGUAGAGGGGGGUAGAAUUCCAGGUGUAGCGGUGAAAUGCGUAGAGAUCUGGAGGAAUACCGGUGGCGAAGGCGGCCCCCUGGACGAAGACUGACGCUCAGGUGCGAAAGCGUGGGGAGCAAACAGGAUUAGGUACCCUGGUAGUCCACGCCGUAAACGAUGUCGACUUGGAGGUUGUGCCCUUGAGGCGUGGCUUCCGGAGCU